UAAGGUUAAGGUGUGUGAAAUUAAAAUUAGGAUGGAUAAGAUGGUCAAAAGGAAUAAUAAGAAAGAUUAUAAGCUUUCAACCCAAAAUAGAAACAAAAAUACGAAUCUGUAAAAGAACACGACCGGAGAAGAAAGGGGAUGGGCAAAUGGCCUGACAAAGUUUUCUGGAAUUCAGGAUCAUUAAUAUAAACACCAAUUAUUUACAACAAAUUUGUGGCAUACAAAUGAGGACUAGACAGAAUUUGCAACCUACUAAAGUCAUUACCGGGCCUUAAGCCAUGUAAUGGGUACUGUAAGCCUUUCUUUUGUGAAAGACAUUUUACAAUCUUCAUGGAUACUGGAUGGAAACUCUCAUAAAGAAGAAUGAUUGUAGAGGGGGGCAGAGCCCAAAUUUUAGGAUGAUGUACUAUGUCAUGUGUAGGUCAUCUUUGCUGGACAAAAGUCAAGGUUUGUGGGGCCUGAGUCUGUGCUUCUUGGCCGGCGGAAUAUGACAAUUAUACAUCAAACGUUUUGGAUGGGUAUGUAGUUUGUUUUGUAUCAGGUCUUGAAGGCCAAAUUAUAGGGGCUGCUUGUUAUAGGUUCUGAAAUAGGUCAGUCUACCCUAUGCUAUAUACUGGCUAUCAUGAGGGGAGGCAUUGAAUGAUUUUAGGCUGUAUGAAAGAGAGAGAUCAGGUGCAUGCAUGUUGCAAAGGUGAUUUUGUAUUCACCAGAUACAUGCAUGAUUCGAGGUGAUUCUGUUUUUGUUUUUUUCUUUAUAUGCUGUUAUGCUUUUGGGUGAUCGUAUAUUUCUGCUUUUGAUAUGCAGUAUUUCAUUGUUGGUUCUAAGGUAUCCAAUGUUAAGAUUAAAUGCGAUUUAUCUGAACCAUUUGAAAUGUGAUUGA